rnacentral:tRNA from 1 species
CUCUGGCUGGCUCAGUCAGUGGAGCAUGAGACUCUUGAUCUCAGGGUUGUGAGUUCAAGCCCCCUGUUGGACA